rnacentral:tRNA from 1 species
GUCCUUAUAGCUCAGCUGGAUAGAGCGUUCGCCUCCUAAGCGAAAGGUCUCCGAUUCGAAUUCGGAUAAGGACGCCA